rnacentral:ncRNA from 1 species
GUAGUAGCAAACAUUCAAACUUGAACUUUGAAGGCCAAAGAGGAGAAGGGUUCCAUGUGAACAGCAGUUGAAAAUGGGUCAAUCUGUCCUAGGGGAUGGUCGAAUGUCAUUUUGAAUCACAGGGCGAUGGUCUCUGUUACCCGUGGCCUGAUCAAAAGAAUCUGGUAUAGAUCCCUGAACCUGCAGUGGCUGAGACAGGCGCUGCAAGGCGUCCAGUGGUGCAAACAGACCUGGAGAAGCCGAUGGGAGCCCCGGGGAGAGUUCUCUUUUCUUUGUAAAGGGCAGGUCACCGUGGAAUGGGUUUGCUCCAAGAGAGGGAUCCAUGCCCUGAAAGGGGUGCUGUUCUGGCGGCAUCUAUCUAGCCCUUAAAAAUCCGGGGUAGAGGGUGUAAGUCUCGUGCCAGGCUGUACCCAUAUCCGCAGCAGGUCUCCAAGAUGAACAGCCUCUGGCA